GAGGGUGUAGCUCAGAGGUAGAGCACAUGCUUAGCAUGCACGAGGUCCUGGGUUCAAUCCUCAGUACCUCUA
rnacentral:tRNA from 1 species